AGCUCCAAUAGCAUAUAUUAAAGUUGUUGCAGUUAAAAAGCUCGUAGUUAGAUUUCUGACUGGGCAUGUGGGUCCGCUCUUACAAGUGUGCACCAUACAUGUCUAGCCAUCCUUUGGGAGAGUCACAGUGGCAUUAAGUUGUUGGUUUGGGGAUCCCAAUCCUCUACUGCAAAGAAACUAGAGUGUUCAAAACAUUCUUACGCCAUUGAAUAUAUUAGCAUGGAAUAAUAACAUAAGACUACUGUACUAUUUUUGUUGGUUCGCGCAUAAUAGUAAUGAUCAACAGGGAUAGUUAGGGGUAUUUGUAUUCCAUUAUCAGAGGUGAAAUUCUUUGAUUUUUUGAAGACAAACUACUGUGAAAGCGUGUACCAAAGAUAUUUUCA
rnacentral:rRNA from 1 species